rnacentral:tRNA from 1 species
GCACUUGUAGUGUAGUGGUUAUCAUCCUCGCCUUCCACUUUCCACAUUUCGGGAUAUUCAGAAUCAGCGAGGGACCCGGAUUCGAAUUCCGGCAGGUGCA